rnacentral:rRNA from 1 species
GAUGAACGCUGGCGGCGUGCCUAAUACAUGCAAGUCGAGCGAACAGACGAGGAGCUUGCUCCUCUGACGUUAGCGGCGGACGGGUGAGUAACACGUGGAUAACCUACCUAUAAGACUGGGAUAACUUCGGGAAACCGGAGCUAAUACCGGAUAAUAUAUUGAACCGCAUGGUUCAAUAGUGAAAGACGGUUUUGCUGUCACUUAUAGAUGUAUCCGCGCUGCAUUAGCUAGUUGGUAAGGUAACGGCUUACCAAGGCAACGAUGCGUAGCCGACCUGAGAGGAUGAUCGGCCACACUGGAACUGAGACACGGUCCAGACUCCUACGGGAGGCAGCAGUAGGGAAUCUUCGGCAAUGGGCGAAAGCUUGACGGAGCAACGCCGCGUGAGUGAAGAAGGUCUUCGGAUCGUAAAACUCUGUUAUUAGGGAAGAACAAAUGUGUAAGUAACUAUGCACGUCUUGACGGUACCUAAACAGAAAGCCACGGCUAACUACGUG